rnacentral:rRNA from 1 species
GACGCAACGCGAAGAACCUUACCAAGGCUGGACAUAUACAGGAAUAUGGCAGAGAUGUCAUAGCCGCAAGGUCUGUAUACAGCUGCUGCAUGGUUGUCGUCAGCUCGUGUCGUGAGAUGUUGGGUUAAGUCCCGCAACGAGCGCAACCCUCGUUCUGUGUUGCCAGCAUUAAGUUGGGGACUCACAGGAGACUGCCGGGGUUAACUCGGAGGAAGGUGGGGAUGACGUCAAAUCAUCAUGCCCCUUAUGUCUUGGGCUGCACGCAUGCUACAAUGGCUGGUACAAACGGCUGCGAUACCGCAAGGUGGAGCGAAUCCGAUAAAGCCAGUCUCAGUUCGGAUUGGGGUCUGCAACUCGACCCCAUGAAGUCGGAGUUGCUAGUAAUCGUAGAUCAGCAACGCUACGGUGAAUACGUUCCCGGGGCUUGUACACACCGCCCGUCACGUCACGAAA